rnacentral:lncRNA from 1 species
UGUCAACACCGAGAGCACCAUACAUAGACGGCUCCAAACUCCUCACUUCGAUAGCGUUUAUGUACGGAAACUGGCCUUCGUAAUCCUGCGAGACGCAAACGCUGAUCGACGGCUUCGUCGUCGUGUAGACGACCUCGUGGCGGGAGGGCGUGGGCCCCGUGUUGUUCACCCAGCCCCAGUAGUAGCCGUCGAACAGCAGGUCGAAGACCGGGGGCGAGUUCCGGCCGUCGUAGUUCCCGUAGAAGAAGGUGGCGCGUACCAGCACGCGCCCCCGCUUCACGUCGCCGAUCUCGUAGCAGUGCUUGGUCUGGUUACGGAACACGCGCAGCGUGUCCGCCACGCGGCUGUAGGAGCUCGACGGCUGCACGGAGCGGGACUCGCCCGUGCGGACGUACUCGUCGUCGCCGGUCCAUGAGAUUCCGUUCUCGUCCUUGUACGACGCCGAUGAGCCGCAGUCGAUGCUGAUGAAAACUGCAUGGGAAAAUUGAGAUUAAAUUGCGUGAUUAGGAAUUGGAUUAGGGAGUUAAUUAGUUAAUUACCGUUUGCUGAUAGAGAUAAACUGCAGAGAGAUAAGAGGAGGCACGAGAUUAGUGGCAGUUUAGCCAUGCUUGGAUUGGAUGAAUUCGAUCGAAUUACUCUUCACAAUUUUUGAGGUCAACUUAUAGUAGAGAAAUCAGAAUUUUUUUUCUUUAUUAUUUCGGAAUAGGAUCGUUGUCUUCGAAAAUCAAUUAUUCCACCUGUUCACAAAAAAAUUGUCACUCUCAUUUAUAGUAGAAGGGCUCGUUCAAAAUGUGGCAAAUAUUUCAUAAUUCUCUAUCCCUUUUUGAAAUGUCCCAAUAUAUAUAGUCUAUUUUCUAAAUAAAAUUUGCAUUAAUUUUUUUUACUAAAAUAACCUUAUUUACGGUUUAUAAAUUUCAUAAUUAUAUUUGUGUUUUUCAAGGAAUAUAGUCAGACAUAGAAUAAAUAAGAGCAAAAUUGAACAACUACAUAUAAUUUAUAUUUUUCAAAUAAUAUUAAUUGCAUUUUCUUAAUAUGUGUGAAAAAACAAAGUGAACUAUGAAGGUGGGACGUACUGAAAGAGUAUAACCUUAUUUAAAGUUUAUAAAAUUCAUAAUUAUAUUUAUGUUUUCAAUUAAUAUAGUCAAACAUAGAAUAAAUAAGAACAAUUAGAUAUAAUUCAUAUUUUUUCAAAUAAUAUUAAUUAUAUUUUCAUAAUAUGUAUAAAAAAAUAAAGUGGACUACGAAGGUGGAAUGGAAACUGUAAAAUCUAUUGACUAAGUUUAUUGGUCAAUAAACAAUGCACAAUUUGCACAUAUAUACCCCUCAAAAAAAAAUUGCACAUAUAUAGUACGUGAAGAGAUAUGUCAUAUAUAUAUUGCUUUUUAUACAGCUAUUAAUUAGUCAAUUCUCGAAUUUUAAUUUGCAUGAAGUCAUCAAUUGCAACUUACAAGUGGUGAUCGAUGUUUUACUAAGUCAACAUAGAAACAUGCCCAAUUUCGCACACGAUAUGAAACUAAUAUGAACUAAUUAAGUAUAUAUUCCCUCUUAGUCUUUGCUCAAGUCAAUUAGGUAAAUAUUCAAAAGUCAAGGUUGAAGGGUUCGUUUGUGUAUUAGUUAGAGAGGACAAACCGUGUGAAAAUAACAGCACAUAAUCAUCGAUGGCAUGAUAUAUAUAAUGCACCACUACGUUUUAAAAUUGAAUUCAAAUGGCAUCAUGUGGGAAAAAAAAAAGAAUGAGGAGAAUUUAAGCUUCGAUACCGAGCGAGUUUCGGAUACCUGAUACUCGCGUCAGACGGGAAGCGGCCGGGUAGGUAUUGGGUGUGGCCUUGAGUACUUUUACGAGUAUCGAUUAUACCUGACGGAUUUACGGGUAUGCCUGAAUACCCGCUGGAUUGUGUAUUAUAAUAAUUUAUAUAUAAAUUUAUUAAUUCAAUAACAUAGAUUUAACUAUUCAAGCCCUAAGUAACGUCUCUCUUUUUGAUAAGGCCAAAGGUCUUUGGGUUCGAGUCUACGCCGUGACGCAGACUUUAAAUUUCUUUAUUUAACAUUGUUAAUCUAUCAAAACGAAAUAAAAAAUAAAAAAUGACAACUAUGAAACAUAGAAUUGUGUAUAUGCAUGUGUUGACCUAAUAGUAAAGUGGUUAAUCGUUAUGUGAACUUUAAAAUUAUUUACUCGCAAGCACGUGGUCUAUGACUUACGGCAUGAGUUAUCUAGAUUUGCUACUAAUUUUGUUGAUGUAAUGAUUUAGAAAUCAGAGUUUUCGUGUUGACUUCUUGAUAUUGUUCGAUCAGAUUUAAAUAAAUACUAAUAUUUCACUCUUUCCUAAAAAAGGAUGUCUAUUUUAUAACAUAAAAAGAAUUACACACAUUACGUUGUCGCACACGGCACACCAUCUCUGGGUGACAAUUUAUUUUAUUGAUAAAAAUCAAUGUACUGAAUUAAUUACAGUAAAUUUGUUGAACUACAAAAUAUAUAAAUAAAAGAAAUUAAACUAAAAUGUCCCAUUUUUUUUAUUAACUCAAGUGUAAUACGAUAAUGCAUGAAAUCAUGGCGGCGAAGAUAAUUUCUAGAAUGUUCUUCCUCUUCCCGACGGAAGAAUUCGUCGGCAAACUUGUCGUCGGAGUCGGGCACGACGAGUUUGACGUACACAGCUCUGGAUUCCCACUUACCCUAUACAGAAAAAACGAUGGCUUGUUUAUUUUUAUUUCCAACCUUGUUUAAUUUAUUCAAUUUUAUUUUAAGCUAAAUAAUUAGGAACACGUUUGUUGAAUUAAGCAAUAAUUAGUGAGCUUACCGUAAAAUUAGGCCCUUUUUUGCUAAUAAUGAGGCUGGAAUGGUGCCGUUGAAAUUAUUAUUCUCGAGAUUCCUGAAAGAUAAUGUAAAACAAAAUUUAGGAAAAUAAUUAAACUGCCAUAAUAUAUUAAUAUUGGUUUCAUUAUUUGCUUUUGGAACUCACAAUAUUUGGAGAUUCGGCAACGAGCCAAGAAAAUCAGGAAUAUUCCCUCGCAAGCUGUUAUUUGAAAGAUUUCUGCAAAUCCAACAAUUAAUAUUAUUAUAAAUGAUCUAGAGUUUGUUUUUGAAGUUUUUUUUUUUUUUUUUGAAAUAAAUAAAAAUGGACUCACAUUGUGGUAAGAGCAUUCAUGGAAGUGAAAUCUGGAAGCAACCCCGAAAGCCCGAAGCCACCAAGAAGUCUGUGACAUAAAUAGCACAAAUUAAUCAGGAAAAUUAAUCUAACAUAAAAUAAAAGUAGUAUAUGUAUAUUAUAUAUAUGGAAAUGUAAAUUAAUUAAUUAUUACAGUGAUUUGACUCUAUCACCGUCGCAUUUGACCCAAUCCCAGUUGUAUAAUAUAGGAAGACAAGGAUCGCCGCUCCAAUUUCGCAACGAACUGAACGCUUUUUGCAGCGAAGCUAACCCUUCAACUAAAUUAGGGCAAAAAAAAAGGGUUCAUUUUCAAUAACUAUAUGUAAUAUGUACAUAAAAAAGAGACAAUAUCCAAUUCUAGCCUUUUUCAUAUAACAAAAAGAAAUCGUAGCCAUAGAUAAGAAUAUUAAAAUAGUCGCCGUUUUUUACCAUUAUGCUCUUACACACUAGUGUAAAUAGUAAAAAACGGUUACUACGGGAACCGUGUAAGUGUGUAAGUCAUAAUAGUAAAAAACGGCUACUAUUUUUAUCUACAUGGCUACUAUUUUUUAUUAUUAUUAUAUGAUUUUGACUAGAAUAACAGAACGUAGAAUUCUCACCGUCUUUCUCGUCAGUGCCAUUGUUGAGUGGUAAAUCUCCGAGGAUAAACACUUCCAUGGCAUUGACGAGGGGCGGGAGCGUGGAGUUCUCGGUUGCGACAAGGGAGAAGGUGUUGUUCGCCGAAAUUGAAAUGUUGCUGACGAACUUGCCCGUGCAGUUUUCGUAGGGCGGCGAGAAGGGCGUGGAGAAGGCGACGUUGUCCUUGUAGAAGGCGAAGGACCGGGUUUGGUUGGGGCCGAGGCGAGUGACCUCGGAGAAGUACCAAUUGGCGUAGACCGAGGAGUUGAAGGAUUUAGAUAACGCGAGGUAAAAGUCUAUGGUUGAAUUGAGUGUGGGGGCAGUAACGGCCGUUUUCAACACGGCAAGCGGCGGUUUAUCGACCGUUUGGAUAUCGCUGCUGAGACGGGCGUCGCUCGUGACUUGGAUCGUUCCGUUCAUGAACGUGUCACGAGUCCAUUGUCUAUCGUAGGGAUCGUCCGGAAACCUGCAAUUCCACCAAUAUUUAAGUACUAAAUUUGGUGGAUAUGGGCUAUAUGGUAAAAUUAAUAGUUCAUUCAUAUUUAUGUUUUAUUAUUAUAUAUUUUAAUUAGAUCUAUGGACAGAACCACCCAAAAUCAAUUGCUUAACACAACUAUCUCACAACAUUUCUCCCAAAUUGCUGAAUGUACUCCUCUCAUCCCAUUAACAAUGACUCAUUUUCUUUUUCUGUGAUCAGUCUCAUUAAUAAUGGUUCAAUCCAAAAAAAUAAAACUACUUUAUCUCACAAAAAAAUGUGAGUUACACCAUUUUUCAUCAUUUUUAUCAUUAAAUCGCUCUUCUUUUUAAUAAUCGUGUCAAACAAUAAUGAAUCAUUAUUAAUGGAACGGAGGGAGUAUACCUGAUGGUUGCAUUAGUACCAAAAGACACCCUUCUCCUCACGAACAAGGGGUAAAUGUCCCUGUCCUCACCCAGACCGCCAUACAUAGUGGAAUCCAAACUCCGCACCUCGAUGGCAUUGAUGUACGGAAACUGCCCGGCUUCGUACUGCGACACGCACACGCUGAUCGUCUCCCUCGUCGUCGUGUAGAUGACCUCGAACCGCGAGGGCGUGGGCCCCGAGUUGUUCACGUACGCCCAGUAGUAGCCGUCGAAGAGCAGGUCGAAGGCCGGCGGGGAGUUCCGGCCGUCGUAGUUCCCGUAGAGGAAGGUGGCGCGUACCAGCACGCGCCCCCGCUUCACGUCGCCGAUCACGUAGCAGUGCUUGGUCUGGUUCCGGAACACGCGCAGCGUGUCCAUCACGCGGUUGUAGGAGCUCGACGGCUGCACGGCACGGGACUCCCCCGUGCCGACGUACUCGUCGUCGCCUGUCCAUGAGAUUCCGUUCUCGUCCUUGUACGUCGCCGAUGAGCCGCAGUCGAUGCUGA